UACGUAGGGUGCGAGCGUUGUCCGGAAUUAUUGGGCGUAAAGAGCUUGUAGGCGGUCUGUCGCGUCUGCUGUGAAAAUCCCGGGGGCUCAACCCCGGACUUGCAGUGGGUACGGGCAGACUAGAGUGUGGUAGGGGAGACUGGAAUUCCUGGUGUAGCGGUGAAAUGCGCAGAUAUCAGGAGGAACACCGAUGGCGAAGGCAGGUCUCUGGGCCACUACUGACGCUGGAGAAG
rnacentral:rRNA from 1 species